GAUGAACGCUAGCUACAGGCUUAACACAUGCAAGUCGAGGGGUAACGAGAGGAAAGCUUGCUUUCCUUGUCGACGACCGGCGCACGGGUGAGUAACGCGUAUCCAACCUGCCCCCAACUAAGGAAUAACCUUGCGAAAGUAAGACUAAUACCUUAUAAUUUCCUCAGAUGUCAUCUGACGAGGAAUAAAGAUUUAUCGGUUGUGGAUGGGGAUGCGUCUGAUUAGCUUGUUGGCGGGGUAACGGCCCACCAAGGCAACGAUCAGUAGGGGUUCUGGGAGGAAGGUCCCCCACAUUGGAACUGAGACACGGUCCAAACUCCGACGGGAGGCAGCAGUGAGGAAUAUUGGUCAAUGGGCGGAAGCCUGAACCAGCCAAGUAGCGUGCAGGAUGACGGCCCUAUGGGUUGUAAACUGCUUUUAUACAGGAAUAAAGUUAGCCACGUGUGGUUAUUUGUAGGUACUGUAUGAAUAAGGACCGGCUAAUUCCGUGCCAGCCGCCGCUGUAAGAC
rnacentral:rRNA from 1 species